rnacentral:rRNA from 1 species
GAUGAACGCUAGCUACAGGCUUAACGCAUGCAAGUCGAGGGGUAACGAGAGGAAAGCUUGCUUUCCUUGUCGACGACCGGCGCACGGGUGAGUAACGCGUAUCCAACCUGCCCCCAACUAGGGAAUAACCUUGCGAAAGUAAGACUAAUACCCUAUAAUUUCCUCAGAUGUCAUCUGACGAGGAAUAAAGAUUUAUCGGUUGUGGAUGGGGAUGCGUCUGAUUAGCUUGUUGGCGGGGUAACGGCCCACCAAGGCAACGAUCAGUAGGGGUUCUGAGAGGGAGGUCCCCCACAUUGGAACCGAGACACGGUCCAAACUCCUACGGGAGGCAGCAGUGAGGAAUAUUGGUCAAUGGGCGGAAGCCUGAACCAGCCAAGUAGCGUGCAGGAUGACGGCCCUAUGGGUUGUAAACUGCUUUUAUACAGGAAUAAAGUUAGCCACGUGUGGUUAUUUGUAGGUACUGUAUGAAUAAGGACCGGCUAAUUCCGUGCCAGCCGCCGCUGUAA